GUGGGGAAUCUUAGACAAUGGGGGAAACCCUGAUCUAGCCAUGCCGCGUGAUCGAUGAAGGCCUUAGGGUUGUAAAGAUCUUUCAGGUGGGAAGAUAAUGACUGUACCACCAGAAGAAGCCCCGGCUAACUCCGUGCCAGCAGCCGCGGUAAUACGGAGGGGGCUAGCGUUGUUCGGAAUUACUGGGCGUAAAGCGCACGUAGGCGGAUUGGAAAGUUGGGGGUGAAAUCCCGGGGCUCAACCCCGGAACUGCCUUCAAAACUCCCAGUCUUGAGUUCGAGAGAGGUGAGUGGAAUUCCGAGUGUAGAGGUGAAAUUCGUAGAUAUUCGGAAGAACACCAGUGGCGAAGGCGACUCACUGGCCCAAUACUGACGCUGAGGCGCGAAAGCGUGGGGAGCAAACAGGAUUAGAUACCCCUGUAGUCC
rnacentral:rRNA from 1 species